rnacentral:rRNA from 1 species
AUUGAACGCUGGCGGCAGGCCUAACACAUGCAAGUCGAACGGUAACAGGAAGAAGCUUGCUUCUUUGCUGACGAGUGGCGGACGGGUGAGUAAUGUCUGGGAAACUGCCUGAUGGAGGGGGAUAACUACUGGAAACGGUAGCUAAUACCGCAUAACGUCGCAAGACCAAAGAGGGGGACCUUCGGGCCUCUUGCCAUCGGGUGUGCCCAGAUGGGAUUAGCUAGUAGGUGGGGUAACGGCUCACCUAGGCGACGAUCCCUAGCUGGUCUGAGAGGAUGACCAGCCACACUGGAACUGAGACACGGUCCAGACUCCUACGGGAGGCAGCAGUGGGGAAUAUUGCACAAAGGGCGCAAGCCUGAUGCAGCCAUGCCGCGUGUAUGAAGAAGGCCUUCGGGUUGUAAAGUACUUUCAGCGGGGAGGAAGGGAGUAAAGUUAAUACCUUUGCUCAUUGACGUUACCCGCAGAAGAAGCACCGGCUAACUCCGUG